UACGUAGGGUGCGAGCGUUGUCCGGAAUUAUUGGGCGUAAAGAGCUUGUAGGCGGUUUGUCGCGUCUGCCGUGAAAAUCCGGGGCUCAACCCCGGACUUGCGGUGGGUACGGGCAGACUAGAGUGUGGUAGGGGAGACUGGAAUUCCUGGUGUAGCGGUGAAAUGCGCAGAUAGUCAGGAGGAACACCGAUGGCGAAGGCAGGUCUCUGGGCCAUUACUGACACUGAGAAGCGAAAGCAUGGGGAGCGAACAGG
rnacentral:rRNA from 1 species